AGAAUGAGAAUCUACAAGUCUGAGUCAGCUAUUCAUCCACAGCUGGGGACUUCUCCACAUUUCUAUAACUGACUCUUAACAGCCUCAACAACAUUACAAAAGCCGUAACAAAUUCAUAACUAUCCAACUCGUUUUCCCUCCAAAGCAUAUUCUCUUCCCUACUAUUUCUAAACUUCCUUUUCCUAUAUGUUACACUAACAUCGAGGAAUGUAAUAUUA
rnacentral:misc_RNA from 1 species